rnacentral:rRNA from 1 species
UACGGAGGGGCUAGCGUUGUUCGGAAUUACUGGGCGUAAAGCGCGCGUAGGCGGACCUGCAAGUCGGGGGUGAAAGCCCGAGGCUCAACCUCGGAACUGCCUUCGAUACUGCGGGUCUCGAGUCCGGGAGAGGUGAGUGGAAUUCCUAGUGUAGAGGUGAAAUUCGUUAGAUAUUAGGAAGAACACCAGUGGCGAAGGCGGCUCACUGGCCCGGUACUGACGCUGAGGCGCGAAAAGCGUGGGGAGCAAACA